rnacentral:tRNA from 1 species
GCGGGUGUAGCUCAAUUGGCAGAGCACCGGUCUCCAAAACCGGGGGUUGUAGGUUCGAUUCCUGCCACCCGUGCCA